rnacentral:misc_RNA from 1 species
GGUCCGCUACCGCCACCCGCUCCUCGCAAUAGCUACUACGACGACUAUGACGAGUCCCUAAGACGACCUCUGCCUAUGGAGCGCCGACCUCUUCCUCCUCCCAGGGACCCCUACAUGCGGGAUCCUUAUGAUCGAUAUGAUCCCUAUGACCGCAUCCCACCGGCUCCUCGAUCUGCAGUGCUGAUGGAGCGCAGGAUCGCCCCGCUUCCUUAUGACCAACGCCCUGAUCCAUAUGCUGAUCUUUACAGGGAACGCGAUCCCUACGCGCCCCGAGACCCCUACGCCAUCCGUCGCUCCAUGAGUCCACGACGCUAUGCCGGUCCUCCUCGGGACUUGCCUCCGGCACCACCCCGACGAUUUUAAGUUCCAUCUCGCUCGCCCUGACCAUCGAAGUACUCUAAGCCUGGGAUCUCGAUACCUAAUGUCGUCUUAAACUUUUUCGGCGUACCUUACCCAUGCCAUGAGUCGUAAACUAGACAUGGAACUCUAUUUAUUCGGCGUAUUGCUAGCAUAGGUAGUACCGUUUCAAUUCACCGCCUAUGUAUUAUUAUUUCCAGAUACUAGUACUUCGCUGUAUUAUAGAGCUGAUUAAGGGCGACCGCUAACAUUGUGUUCUUUGAAAUCCCGUUCCUCAUCUGAGCCACUUAGCAAUCGAAUUCUCGUUUUCUUUAAAUGUAACUAGAUUCCAUGAAAGGAGUUUCCAUCAGAUCCUCAAUAUCCAUGUGCUAGGAUAUAAUGCUUAAUCACUAAUGAAGUUGCCUUCGCAUGAAUACGGCAAAGAAAUUCAGGGUACGAAACUCCAGCAGAUAGUUAGUUCCAGCAGUUAGUGCGCGUUUCCAGCAGAUAGUUCUAGCUAUCGUUUUAAAGUUGGAGUUCUCAGGAGGAAUAUUUCGAUAUAAUUUUCUAAUUAAAUUUGUUUUCAUCACGAAAUUUACUCUCUAUGAUGGGCGGUAAAGAAGUUCUUGUUGAUCGAUUCGUUGGUCCUAUUCAAUACUCGCUCCUGGCAUUGUCCAAGGGCCUGAUAGAGCUUUACUGUACAAGGACACAAAUCAGGUUACGAUCAAUGAAUUUGCACUUCCGUAAAUUUACGAUGGAAAAAUGUUCUCGUAUAUAGCGUUAUCUCUUAUCACAAGUAUUCUGUUUAGAAAUGUCGUGUCCUAAGUUAUAUGACAUGCUGUCGUCUUAAAUUCAUACUGAGCUGUCUCUCUUGGAAAACUUUCUGUUUAACACUAAUGAGCGUCAAAUGUUGUUCAUACUAUCCGUACUAACUUUAGCAACGCCGAGCGUAAAUCUGGGUUACGAACAAAGCCUCAAUUUUAUAUAUCAAUCGAAGAUAAUUCUUGCUAUAACUCAUGUUUUAUAUGCGUUAGUUACCUCUAGUGAUGAGACGACAUUAGCAAACAAGUUUAAUGCAGACAAUGCUAGACCUGACUUGGGUUACAGGCGCUCAGACAUUUAUUUCAAAUUAUCGGUUUUUCAUUAUUCGUGCAAUGAAUCCGUUUUCUUCUUGAUAGAGAUCUUUGGUAGUUUUGUAGACGCCACUUGCUCAUCGUGCUUAGGGACUCGAAAUGGUUAAACCUUAAUUUCUGCUAAUACGAGCACUUGGUUAAUUUUCACAAGCUCAUCGAAAUCACCCCGGAAUGUAUUUAUAUACUGGCCGUUAAUUUUCAUGAUAAUUUGUUACUACAAUUGUAAAUUUGACUAUUUUCUCGAUGUAUCUACGAAAUAUGAUGAAGUUCUGAGAUUUUGUCCUUCAUUGUUAUGACUUGUAGCGAACUUACCGCCCGUAAUAUGUAGUCGAUGUUGCGAUGUUCGCCUUCUCAUAAAUCAUUGUUAGGUACGUCUAAAACUCAAUAUUAAUUUUACCCGAAAAAUGACCGUUAAUUUCAUUAACUAGCUAAUUAUCUGAAAUUCUGUACGAUGAUCGGUAUGAAUUUAGUUUUAACUUAUCACUUAUCCAAAUCAGUCUGCUCUCGUUAUAGUGUUAACAGAUUCCGAUCGUUUUUUUUUUUUCAUUGUAAAUUCUUAGCUUUGUGAUGUAUUAAAUUACCGAUAAUGUAAUUCUCAAACUUAAUUAAUCGAACAGAAUAUUCCCACUCGCUCAUAUUUCUCUUGUUAUGUCUACGAGUUAGUGUAACCUAUUGAUCCGUAUAUCUUAAGUGCUAUCUAAUUAAUUGUCUUCGAUAUCCCGUGAAUAUUGUUCGUCACUCCAUAACUCGAUUAAUGACAACCGGCUUACUUCGUGCCAAUGUCACUUCUAGAUUCGAUCUAAAAUUAAGAUAGGCUAGUGGUGUGGUAGCUUUAGUAUGUGUGUAUCAGCUCGCAAUAAAAGAUUGAUGUCCGACAAGUUUUGUAUCACAAGUACAUGUCGCCGCGUGGUGACAUCAGACCGAAGUCAAAUGCUAAGCUGAGCACUGGAUCGUGCGAGCUACCCGGAGAUUCGCGAGAACCAACUAUGGCGUUCUUUUGAACAAAUCGAUCUUAGUUCACACCGCUUAGCGGGAAACUGAAGGUAAGACUGUGACCUCGCGAGAGGUUCAUAUUGACGCGAUGCUGCUUCCCUUCUACCUUUAUGCUUCAGUUAAUCCGAAAUUUUGAUGCAUUUGAAAGAGUACUUCGCUGUGUUAUGUUGCCGUUUCGUUGAGCGUCUUUAGUCACUUAUCUAAAAUAUUUUUCAAAUUCGAGUCAUUCGUGCGCGUGUUUGGAAUAUUUUUGUUGUUUUUUUUUUUCCAUCCGUCAAGUGCAUAAAGUUUGCUGUAAUUGAUGUGAGCAGGCGUCUGCUAAUUCUCCUUUCUCUUUCCACAAUCCGAAUUUUCAUCUGGCGCCCCUCAAUAUUUUUUUGGUUUUCGUUGUCGCUUUUCUGUUGACACGGAAUGACCUCAUUGUGGAACUUUACUCUCAUGUAUCGUUAAAAAUCAUUUGUGCUAUUCUUACCUUUUAUUAACUUUUGUUUUUAUCUGCUCUGUACCCUUUCGAAUUUUUUAAUCAUUGCAUGAAACGUGGUUGUUUUAAAUAAUUAAAUUAGCCUAUAGCGACAGUAUUCAUGCGUUUCCAAUCUGACGGCAUUCAGCCAAUAACGCAUAGGUUCCUAGGAGAAACGAAUGAGAAAUGCUACCAGAUUUUUUUUAAAUACGACAACGAAUCUAGUAGUCAAUGGACUGGCUAAUCGGCUUCAAAUUAAAAUUCGCGUGGGUUAAUUUUUUUAUUUGUUAUUUUUUUGUGUAGUCACGAUUUUUCCACUGAGGAGUGACUAGCCACUUGUGUAAACGUAAUUUCGCUUAAUAACAUCAAAUAUUAAUCAAAGUUUUUCAGAGGAGCGUUGGUUUUUUUUUCUUUGCCUUGCUUCACUUAAUCACUCUUGUUGUUUAAUGUCUAAUUACUAUCUGUGUAUUAGGUUCAACUUGGAGACGAACCAUGAGCGAGGCGUUACCACUUGAAGUCAGUCCUCGAGCUGCCAUCAGGAUGGAUCUCAUAAACUUGAAGUUUCAAAGAACGACUAAAAUGCUUCAGCAGCAACGAUGCGGCUCAGUCAGCUUCUUCAUCAAAACGAUUCUAUUAUCAUGAAGUUCCUGAGGAUCUGCUGGCGAGGGCACCAAUGAGCCUCCGGCUGUCGGUACCACUCUUCGUUCUUCUUACGAGUUGAUCCGAGGAGAAGAUUUCCUUGCUUUGCAGUGCUCAAAGUACCAAGACACUAGAGUAUACUCGCCACAUCAUAGUCUCUGUGAUAAUCUCGAGUUCUCUACCGGCAAGUUCCAAUGUAUCUUACUUCUUUACUUGUGGUGAAGUCACUGUGAACUUUCUAGUUUCCUUAAUAUUUGUUUGGGACGUAGCAGUCCCAGGCCACGAUGGAUCGCCGCUUCUGGAUCGCUUCUGUGAAUGAUGUAAUUGAGCAUCGCACUAUUGUUACACUAAAGAUGAUUAUUAAUUUAUCACUGAUCACUAUCAUUCUUACAAAUAAAUUACAUCUUCUGGACCACGUUGACCUGCCCCCGAGUGGUAUUUUCAUCUCUGUAAUUCGCUCUGGAGUGGAGUCCAAUCUCUAAUCCGUGAGGUAUCGUGAAGGAACCUUACUUUACAGGACCACCAACAUUUUUAACAAAAUGUAGUGUGCACUCGCUACGCCAAUCUUUACUAAAAUAAGACUAAUUAUGUUCAUUGCCGUGGAGAUUAAGAACGCAAAUUACAUGUCUACUGUUAGUAACAAUAUUUUAGCAGGAUUGAGGUACGAAAGGCUUUGACGGCGGGUGUUUCCGUAAACAAAUUUAUAAUGCUAGCAAUUUAAGAGAUGUACAGCUGUCAUUUUGUUCACGUCACAAUUUCUUUUGCGUAGUCAUGUUAAUUUUGCUUUCAAUCUCCAUUUGUUCCUAGUAUUUAUAUGAAAUAUUAUCUGCACGCUGAACAAAUUCGGCUCUUCUGUUCACUUUCCUAACGAUGUAUAUUUCUUGCACCGAAUUUCUUUAGAAUAAUUUUCCCCGUUUAGAUUUUAUUUACCGCCUUCAGUUUUGAUAAUCUUUAAACAACAUAAUCCCAAACCAUACUGCCUUGCCCUAUAUACCACCUAUGGCCAUGGCUGUUUACCGCUUACGAUGUUACUCGUGGCUAUCACGUGUUGACAUUUCUUGUAGUAAUUUAAGAUUUCUUCCCGUUUGUCGAUAUUUAGAUGAAAUAUGGAAUUUGUUCAAGUUUAAUUGAGGUUUCGCUACCUGAACUACACUCUGAUUUGCUCCGUCUUUUGCUUGAAUCGAUGGCUAUUGUUUAUUUUGGACGGCGAAUAUUUUUGUUUGUUUAUCUUCUAUCACCUUGUCAUUACCUUCAUAUUCUGCUGCCCUGUAAUUCUUGGCUGAUGUUAACUCUGCCUCUGUCAAUUAUCAAUUGAUCAAAAUAAAUCCAGGAACAAAAAUUGUGUAA